GUGAACCUGCNGAGGGAUCUUUG
rnacentral:rRNA from 1 species